rnacentral:lncRNA from 1 species
UGAUUUCUGAUUAGACAGUUGAUCAUCAUCAUCAUUGUCAUUGUUACCGUCUCCUAGUCCUUUCCUGAAAGUGGGUUUCCCAGAAGCAGCCUGCUUGGUUUUUCCAGACCAAGGAGGAAAAAAGGGCAUCCUUGGGAGAUGAGGUAAAGGUGGAAGCUUUGGUAGCAGAGGCAUAAAAUGAUUCUGGUUCAUUUCUGGUUUGGUAGGAAGUUCUGCUGUAAGGUCCUUUUGGGAACACAGGUUGUUUUUAUGUUGGGCAGGCCUGAAGGUGAAGAAUCCAGCAGAGAAAAAACGGAGAUCAUCUCCUUGAUUGUUCUUGAUGAUGCGGUGGAGGGAUGAUGUGGAAUUUUCUGUGGAUGCAACUGCACAGGAGGGAUCGCUGCUGCU